AAGAAAGGAUUAACCCACUCAUUGCUGAAAGCAACCUGAAGCCAAACAUUUGAGGAAAGUGCAACUAGAACGCCUGUACUGAGGACGUAUUAGGUGUGCUAAGCAGAAUUCCAGGUGAUUCAAAGCUCACAAUGCUUUGGGUACAGAAAAGCUGCAAGGUUGUAAAAUCAUGAUCAGCUUUGAAUCUUCUGCAUCAGGUUCUGUACAGGAAGGACAACAGCCAAAGAGGCACAUGCCUGCGACUAAGAAUGGAGCACACACACUAAAAGCAAAGCUCUCCAAAAUCAGUGAACAUUGCCAGAUUUCAACUGGGACAAGCUUAACAUACUGGCCUUGCUCGGAGAGAUCUAGGAUGACCACCUGCACCUAAACCACAGGCUGACGCCCCUCAAAGCACGGCAGAGACCCUGGACGCGGUCCUAAGCGGCCACGUGCCAGUGACAAAGUUGAAAACACGAAGCAGCGUGUGGACACCUGGUACUUCUAAAACUUCUACAAAAAUCCUUACAGCAGAAAAGCUAAUGAAACUCACCGAUAUCAGCACACAACAUUCAGAAAGCCCAUCUGCCGGAUUUGCAUAAUACAGUUUAUGAAGUAAACUCUCAAUUAAGAUACACAGUCAGAACCAAGAACAUCACAGAGGAAAGCAGAUUCCCCGUGCGCCAUAGACUGCACAAAGACAGCACGGAGAAGGCUCCCUUAGGCUGGACCACAAACCCAAGAUGUGAAGGAAAGCUAUGAGCAGGACUCGGGCUAUAUGGAGAAUUCAGACAGAAGAAAAUGCUGUUGCUCUUGCAACUUUCAGGGUUAUUUUCAUUUUCUCCAUCACACUUCCCUAAAUCAUCAUCUCCUUUCCAAAUACUGUUCUAAAGGUUACAGCAUACAUGACUUGAAAUCCAAAGUAGAUGCAUUAUUGACAGAAGAGAAAUUGCUAAAUUGAGAAUAUCUUUGGAAACAAGUUCUUGAUAAAGCAGGAAGCAUUAACUUUUGCAUUUCUCACUUUAAUCUAUGCAAUUA